CAGAGGGGGAUAACGUUUGGAAACGAACGCUAAUACCGCAUGAUAUUAUUGAGCUGCAUGGCUUGAUAAUCAAAGGAGCAAUCCGCUGAAAGAUGGGCUCGCGUCCGAUUAGGUAGUUGGCGGGGCAACGGCCCACCAAGCCGACGAUCGGUAGCCGGACUGAGAGGUUGAACGGCCACAUUGGGACUGAGACACGGCCCAGACUCCUACGGGAGGCAGCAGUGAGGGAUAUUGGUCAAUGGGGGAAACCCUGAACCAGCAACGCCGCGUGAGGGAAGACGGUUUUCGGAUUGUAAACCUCUGUCCUCUGUGAAGAUGAUGACGGUAGCAGAGGAGGAAGCUCCGGCUAACUACGUGCCAGCAGCCGCGGUAAUACGUAGGGAGCAAGCGUUGUCCGGAUUUACUGGGUGUAAAGGGUGCGUAGGCGGCUUUGCAAGUCAGAAGUGAAAUCCAUGGGCUUAACCCAUGAACUGCUUUUGAAACUGCAGAGCUUGAGUGGAGUAGAGGUAGGCGGAAUUCCCGGUGUAGCGGUGAAAUGCGUAGAGAUCGGGAGGAACACCAGUGGCGAAGGCGGCCUGCUGGGCUCUAACUGACGCUGAGGCACGAAAGCGUGGGUAGCAAACAGGAUUAGAUACCCUGGUAGUCCACGCUGUAAACGAUGAUUACGAGGUGUGGGUGGACUGACCCCAUCCGUGCCGGAGU
rnacentral:rRNA from 1 species